rnacentral:rRNA from 1 species
GACGCAGGGGGCUAGCGUUGUUCGGAAUUACUGGGCGUAAAGCGCGUGUAGGCGGUUGUCAAAGUCGGGUGUGAAAGCCUUGAGCUUAACUCAAGAAAUGCACUCGAUACUUGGUGACUAGAGGACCGGAGAGGAUAGUGGAAUUCCCAGUGUAGUGGUGAAAUACGUAGAGAUUGGGAAGAACACCAGUGGCGAAGGCGGCUAUCUGGACGGUUUCUGACGCUAAGACGCGAAAGCGUGGGGAGCAAACAGG